AGUGAACGCUGGCGGUAGGCCUAACUCAUGCAAGUCGAACGGCAGCACAGUAAGAGCUUGCUCUUACGGGUGGCGAGUGGCGGACGGGUGAGGAAUACAUCGGAAUCUACUUUUUCGUGGGGGAUAACGUAGGGAAACUUACGCUAAUACCGCAUACGACCUACGGGUGAAAGCAGGGGAUCUUCGGACCUUGCGCGAUUGAAUGAGCCGAUGUCGGAUUAGCUAGUUGGCGGGGUAAGGGCCCACCAAGGCGACGAUCCGUAGCUGGUCUGAGAGGAUGAUCAGCCACACUGGAACUGAGACACGGUCCAGACUCCUACGGGAGGCAGCAGUGGGGAAUAUUGGACAAUGGGCGCAAGCCUGAUCCAGCCAUACCGCGUGGGUGAAGAAGGCCUUCGGGUUGUAAAGCCCUUUUGUUGGGAAAGAAAAGCAGCAGGUUAAUACCCCGCUGUUCUGACGGUACCCAAAGAAUAAGCACCGGCUAACUUCGUG
rnacentral:rRNA from 1 species